UACAGAGGGGGCGAGCGUUGUUCGGAAUUACUGGGCGUAAAGGGCGCGUAGGCGGCCCGCUAAGUCGAACGUGAAAUCCCCAGGCUCAACCUGGGAACUGCGUCCGAUACUGGCAAGCUUGAAUCCGGGAGAGGGAUGCGGAAUUCCAGGUGUAGCGGUGAAAUGCGUAGAUAUCUGGAGGAACACCGGUGCGAGGACGGCGAUCCUGGACCGGUAUUGACGCUGAGGCGCGGAAAGCCAGGGGGAGCAAACGGG
rnacentral:rRNA from 1 species